GGCUGAACAGGCACACACAGACAUGCAGUCGCAACGAUGCAGCCCAGCUUGCUGUUCGGUUUAGUGGCGAACGGGUGAGUAAACGUGAGCAACCUGCCCUUAACUCUGGGAUAAGCCUGGGAAACUGGGUCUAAUACCGGAUAGUAGCGCCGGCCGCCUGGGGUGAGUUGGAAAGAUUUAUCGGGUUUUGGAUGGACUCGCGACCUAUCCGCUUGUUGUCGAGGUAGUGGCUCACCAAGCCGCGGACGAGUUGCCGGCCUGAGAGGGUCACCCGCCAUACUGGCACUGACACAGCACAAUCUAUAUACGGGAGGCAGCAGUGGGGAAUAUUGCACAAUGGGCGAAAGCCUGAUGCAGCGACGCCGCGUGAGGGAUGACGGCCUUCGGGUUGUAAACCUCUUUCAGUAGGGAAGAAGCGAAAGUGACGGUACCUGCAGAAGAAGCACCGGCUAACUACGUGCCAGCAGCCGCGGUAAUACGUAGGGUGCGAGCGUUAUCCGGAAUUAUUGGGCGUAAAGAGCUCGUAGGCGGUUUGUCGCGUCUGUCGUGAAAGUCCGGGGCUUAACCCCGGAUCUGCGGUGGGUACGGGCAGACUAGAGUGCAGUAGGGGAGACUGGAAUUCCUGGUGUAGCGGUGGAAUGCGCAGAUAUCAGGAGGAACACCGAUGGCGAAGGCAGGUCUCUGGGCUGUAACUGACGCUGAGGAGCGAAAGCAUGGGGAGCGAACAGGAUUAGAUACCCUGGUAGUCCAUGCCGUAAACGUUGGGCACUAGGUGUGGGGACCAUUCCACGGUUUCCGCGCCGCAGCUAACGCAUUAAGUGCCCCGCCUGGGGAGUACGGCCGCAAGGCUAAAACUCAAAGGAAUUGACGGGGGCCCGCACAAGCGGCGGAGCUUGCGGAUUAAUUCGAUGCAACGGGAAGAACCUUACCAAGGCUUGACAUGUUCUCGAUCGCCGUAGAGAUACGGUUUCCCCUUUGGGGCGGGUUCCCAGGUGGGGCAUGGUUGUCGUCAGCUCGUGUCGUGAGAUGUUGGGUUAAGUCCCGCAAAGGGGGCAACCCUUGUUCCAUGUUGCCAGCCCGUAAUGGGUGGGGAUUCAUGGGAAAAUUCCCGGGGUCAACCUCCGAAGAAAGGUGAAGGACCA
rnacentral:rRNA from 1 species